CGCAUCUGUGCAUGCAGCAUAUCAAUAAGCGGAGGAAAAGAAACUAACAAGGAUUCCCCUAGUAACGGCGAGUGAAGCGGGAAGAGCUCAAAUUUGAAAUCUUAAAGGGUUUCCCUUUACGAAUUGUAGUUUAAAGAAGUGUUUUCUGUUGAGGUUUUGGCUAAAAGUUCUUUGGAAUAGGACAUCAUAGAGGGUGAGAAUCCCGUAUUUGACCUUUACUUUCAACUUUGUGAUACACUUUCAAAGAGUCGGAUUGUUUGGGAAUGCAGUCCAAAAUGGGUGGUAAAUUUCAUCUAAAGCUAAAUAUUGGCGAGAGACCGAUAGCGAACAAGUACCGUGAGGGAAAGAUGAAAAGAACUUUGAAAAGAGAGUUAAACAGUACGUGAAAUUGUCAAAAGGGAAGCGUUUGACACCAGUGUUGUUUUUCUGAAAAUCAAUUAAAGAACUGUUUAUGCUAAGUUGUUUAGACUUUAUCAGCUAACUGUUUAGUUUUGAGCUUUUCUUUAAUGCACUUUUCAGUUAACAAGUCAACAUCAAUUUCUUUUGCUGUAAAAAAGCUUGAGGAAGGUGGCUUGAGAUUCGUCUUAAGUGUUUAUAGCCUCUUGCCUAUGCAGUCGGAGAGAUUGAGGUCUGCAGCGUAGAUCCUUCGGGGCUAAAUGCAUUUGUGCUAAGUUAUAGCAUUUUAUAGACAACUUGUUGACUAUGAUUUGUCUUGUAGCUUACUCGCUUAUGUUAUUUUACCUACGCUUAGGAUGUUGAGCGCAUGUCUCUCUCU
rnacentral:rRNA from 1 species